UACGGAGGGUGCAAGCGUUAUCCGGAUUCACUGGGUUUAAAGGGUGCGUAGGUGGGCAGGUAAGUCAGUGGUGAAAUCUCCGGGCUUAACACGGAAACUGCCAUUGAUACUAUCAGUCUUGAAUACCGUGGAGGUAAGCGGAAUAUGUCAUGUAGCGGUGAAAUGCUUAGAUAUGACAUAGAACACCAAUUGCGAAGGCAGCUUACUACCCGAAUAUUGACACUGAGGCACGAAAGCGUGGGGAUCAAACAGG
rnacentral:rRNA from 1 species